rnacentral:rRNA from 1 species
UGGGGAAUAUUGCGCAAUGGACGAAAGUCUGACGCAGCGACGCCGCGUGAGGGAUGAAGGUCUUCGGAUCGUAAACCUCUGUCAGGAGGGAAGAAACAGCCGGGUAGUAACUGCCCCGGCCUUGACGGUACCUCCAAAGGAAGCACCGGCUAACUCCGUGCCAGCAGCCGCGGUAAUACGGAGGGUGCAAGCGUUAAUCGGAAUCACUGGGCGUAAAGCGCACGUAGGCGGCUUUGUAAGUCAGGGGUGAAAUCCCACCGCUCACCGGUGGAACUGCCUUUGAUACUGCUUAGCUUGAGUUUGUGAGAGGAUAGUGGAAUUCCAGGUGUAGGGGUGAAAUCCGUAGAGAUCUGGAGGAACAUCAGUGGCGAAGGCGACUAUCUGGCACAAUACUGACGCUGAGGUGCGAAAGCGUGGGGAGCAAACA